rnacentral:lncRNA from 1 species
AGCCCCGCACCCCCAGCCCCAGCCCCGCGUGCAGCUCGCACCCCUUCCCACGCCUGUUCGGGGGAGAGCCCCGGGCCUGGAGUGGGAAGCCUGGCUCCAGCUCUGGUUACCUGCAGUGACUCCCCAGGCCGUUUAGGCGAGUCCAUUGGGCCGCCUCUGCCUCGGUUUCCCCACCUAACCACGGAAGGUGCUCCUCCCUUCCAGGCAUCUGUGGUCUUCGAGCUCCACGCGGGAGAGGCGCCGGUCUGGCACCUCCUGCCCAGGGUCGGCGCCUCCUGGCUCUCGGGGAGGGGGGCAUCCUCCAUCCCCUGCACCUGCCUCGAGAGGAACCAGGGACAGAGCACCCCCACCCCCACCAGGAGCUCCGGAAAAACGGCUUCAGAAGAGCAAAUAUACACACACACCCACCUCCCGCCCCAAACAUCCCCGAAGAAAGGUAACCACAGAAACAGCCAGAAAUGUGGAGCUGGGCGAUCGUAUGAGGCUGAGACAAAACUGUCUUUCUAGCGUCUCUAGGGGAGAGCUUGAAUCCCUCCUUCCACUCCUCCUCCACGGAAAACAGAGUGAACUCCUGCUACAGAGGCCGCCAGAGCAACAUGCAAGACCAGCUUUGAGGGGAGCGGGCACAGGGCCUUGCAGGGAAGGUGGGCCGAGCCCAGACCCCUCAUUCUUACUUGGCUCUGAAGGCGGAAAGGCAAAGCUAGACCUCGAGGAAGUUCCCCUCCCUGUGGGCCCUACAGUGAAGAUUACAUGAAGGCAUGUGGGCGGUGGACCAGAGUGCACCGACUGAUGAAGGCGGCCCGGUACCCGCGGGUGCCAUGCCUCCUUCUUAGCCAAGGCCACUCUAGCUCCCCGUGAAGUAUCCAGGUAGAAGGCUGGUGGGGUUACAGGUGAGAAGCCGUCGGUGGGGUCCAGGAGCCAGGCCUGGGGAAGCACACGUCACUUCCACCCACAUCCAUGGGCCAGAAGUAGUCGCACAGUCCCACCAGGAUGCAAGGGGCUCUGGCAGCUGUGGUCUUCAUGAGUGUUUCGGAAGUAAACAAAGCCGGUUUGAUGAACACGUAGAAACAUCCCUGCCACAGAAACUGAGCAGAUUUCUCCCAAGCACACACAGGGCAAAGGGGCAAAGUCUGUCCACAGACUCACAGGA